AACGAACGCUGGCGGCAGGCCUAACACAUGCAAGUCGAGCGCUACCUUCGGGUGGAGCGGCGGACGGGUUAGUAGCACGUGGGAACAUGCCUUUCAGUAGAGAACAACGCUUGGAAACGAGUGCUAAUACUCUAUACGCCCUAAGGGGGAAAGAUUUAUCGCUGAAAGAUUGGCCCGCGCUAGAUUAGUUAGUUGGUGAGGUAAUGGCUCACCAAGGCUACGAUCUAUAGCUGAUUUGAGAGGAUGAUCAGCCACACUGGGACUGAGACACGGCCCAG
rnacentral:rRNA from 1 species